UACGUAGGGGGCAAGCGUUGUCCGGAUUUAUUGGGCGUAAAGAGCGUGUAGGCGGCUAUGUAGGUCCGCUGUGAAAACUGGAGGCUUAACCUCGAGACGUCGGUGGAAACCACAUGGCUAGAGUCCGGAAGAGGAGAGUGGAAUUCCUGGUGUAGCGGUGAAAUGCGCAGAUAUCAGGAAGAACACCCGUGGCGAAGGCGGCUCUCUGGGACGGUACUGACGCUGAGACGCGAAAGCGUGGGGAGCGAACAGG
rnacentral:rRNA from 1 species